rnacentral:rRNA from 1 species
UUCCGGUUGAUCCUGCCGGAGGCGACCGCUAUUGGAGUUCGAUUAAGCCAUGCGAGUAGAAAGAAAUUAGAUUCUUUGCAUACUGCUCAGUAACACGUGGAUAACCUGCCCUACACUGGGGGAUAAUCUUGGGAAACUGAGGAUAAUACCCCAUAGACCACUACGCCUGGAACGGUGAGUGGUUGAAAGCUCCGGCGGUGUAGGAUGGGUCUGCGGCGUAUCAGGUCGUAGGGGGUGUAACGGACCUCCUAGCCAUCGACGCGUACGGGUUGUGGGAGCAAUAGCCCGGAGACGGAUUCUGAGACACGAAUCCGGACCCUACGGGGUGCAGCAGGCGCGAAAACUUCACACUGCAGGAAACUGUGAUGAGGGAACUCCAAGUGCAUGCACAAUGUGUAUGCUUUUCUUGAAUCUUAAUAGUUCUUGGAAUAAGGGCUGGGAAAGACCGGUGCCAGCCGCCGCGGUAAUACCGGCAGCUCAAGUGGUCGUCGUUCUUAUUGGGCCUAAAACGU